rnacentral:tRNA from 1 species
AAUAGUGUGCCUGACUAAAGGGUUAUCGUGAUAGGAUAAAUAAAGUAAAUGUUUACCAUUAUUA